rnacentral:lncRNA from 1 species
GUUUUCACGGACAAUGUCAGUCUUCAGCAGGUUAUCAGCCAGCACGAAGGCACUGUCCUCCACAGUGUCAAGCAAUUUGGUGGCUGCACGUUGUUGUUCACUUGCGUUCAGGUCCCUCCAGGCAUUCAGAGCCUGUGGCUGAAGAAGGUUGUUCACCGUCUCCACCAUGGCCUUAUUCAAGCUGCGUGCAGCACUGUCCUUCCCACCUGGCGUCAGGUUUCGGAGCUGUACAUCAAGCAAGUUCACCAGUUGGACCAUGGCAGACACGGAGUAUGUGAUGUCACCAGCAUACAAGUGGUUUCUGGUGU